rnacentral:lncRNA from 1 species
GUCCUGCCAAAACGAGAGAGAAGAGGGUAGAGAGAGAGAUGGUUAGGGCUUCUGUAAAAAUAAAAAAAAGAGAGAGAGAUACGGGAAAAAGGGGGAGAGACUUAUCUUUUCCGGCGACGCGGCGGAAGCAGCGGCGCAGCGACACGAACGGCGGUUCUGUUCGGCCGGAAAAGAGGAGAAAAGGGAGGAGUUCAGAUCUGUUUUUUUUUAAAAAUAGAAAGGAGAGGAAAAGGGAGCUCAGAUCUGGAGCCUACCUUCACGGCGAGGCAAGGCUCGGCCAUCCACCACGAUUCCGGCCAUGGCGAAGAACAGGGGAAGCGGCGCGGCGACGCUCGGCUUUUCACAACGGCCGGAGAAGGCACAUGCAGCGGCGGAAUGGUCUCUGCCGACCUACCUUAAGGCCGAGGACGGCCGAGAAACGAUGGCAACCGGCGAGAGCCGUGUUCUGCCAUGGUG